rnacentral:snoRNA from 1 species
CAAUGAUUGUAGCAUGGUACUGUGCACGGAAACUAAAUCAUGGGCUUGAAAUGUCUGUGCCCUCUCUGAGUACUUAAUCGGUUCUUUGAUUUGCGGGCCUGGUUUAAACCCACAUUC